rnacentral:rRNA from 1 species
GUGCGAAUGCUGACAUAAGUAACGAUAAAGCGGGUGAAAAGCCCGCUCGCCGGAAGACCAAGGGUUCCUGUCCAACGUUAAUCGGGGCAGGGUGAGUCGACCCCUAAGGCGAGGCCGAAAGGCGUAGUCGAUGGGAAACAGGUUAAUAUUCCUGUACUUGGUGUUACUGCGAAGGGGGGACGGAGAAGGCUAUGUUGGCCGGGCGACGGUUGUCCCGGUUUAAGCGUGUAGGCUGGUUUUCCAGGCAAAUCCGGAAAAUCAAGGCUGAGGCGUGAUGACGAGGCACUACGGUGCUGAAGCAACAAAUGCCCUGCUUCCAGGAAAAGCCUCUAAGCAUCAGGUAACAUCAAAUCGUACCCCAAACCGACACAGGUGGUCAGGUAGAGAAUACCAAGGCGCUUGAGAGAACUCGGGUGAAGGAACUAGGCAAAAUGGUGCCGUAACUUCGGGAGAAGGCACGCUGAUAUGUAGGUGAAGUCCCUCGCGGAUGGAGCUGAAAUCAGUCGAAGAUACCAGCUGGCUGCAACUGUUUAUUAAAAACACAGCACUGUGCAAACACGAAAGUGGACGUAUACGGUGUGACGCCUGCCCGGUGC